CUACGGGGUGCAGCAGUGAGGAAUAUUGCACAAUGGGGGGAACCCUGAUGCAGCAACGCCGCGUGGAGGAUGACGCAUUUCGGUGUGUAAACUCCUUUUAUAUGUCAAGAAAAUGACGGUAGCAUAUGAAUAAGCACCGGCUAACUCCGCGCCAGCAGCCGCGGUAAUACGGAGGGUGCAAGCGUUACUCGGAAUCACUGGGCGUAAAGGACGCGUAGGCGGGUUGGAAAGUCAGGUGUGAAAUCCUACAGCUUAACUGUAGAACUGCACUUGAAACUUCUAAUCUAGAGUAUGGGAGGGGGAGAUGGAAUUAGUGGUGUAGGGGUAACAUCCGUAGAUAUCACUAGGAAUACCUAAAGCGAAGGCGAUCUCCUGGAACAUUACUGACGCUAAGGCGUGAAAGCGUGGGGAGCAAACAGGAUUAGAUACCCCAGUAGUC
rnacentral:rRNA from 1 species